AGUAGGUUAGUAUCGCGCAAGAUGUCAGUAUCCUUUCUUCGUAUGCAAUGACGAAGUCGCACUUUUGUAGUAAGCGUGUUUCGUUGUUUAGUUUCUCUAGUCUGCCAGUGUCGUGCAAUUUGUUGUCGCCUAAGGUCGCUCAAAUCGACGAUGCGAUUGAGUAAAAGCCACUUGUUGGGACUAGUGCCUGGAAAGAAAUUAGGAUCAGAGCUGCAUGCGAUUCGUUUGUUCCCAUUUAACGGGCGGUUGCUUAGCUCGCAGAUAUUUUCUCGUUUAUCUGGACAACGACGAGCAACGUGAAUGAUGAUGAUGAUGGUGGUUUCGUUUUCUCGGACGACGCAAGAGGUAUGGAGAAUAAAACGUAUGAGCGUGAGAGAUCAGUGAGCCGUGUGAUCGAUGAUCGAUGAACGAUGAUCCAUGAUGCCUGGCCACGUUUCUGUCAGUCGUUCGGUCGUUGAUCGUCGCCAUUUCCAUCCAUCGACACUUCCAUUGUUGACGACAUCGAACAACACGAGAGACAUCCACCGAUUUUUAACGGACAAUCGUAUUAAUGUCACGAUGGAGUGCAAGCAAAGGUGGAGGGCUCUUUUCAUAAGGAUACGAGACGGAUCCUCCAGGAUGGCGUUUCUGGCUUCUGAGAAAGGCCUUGGAGGGAAAUAUUCGCGGACCGCCAAAUAUUUACACCUCCGACAAAGUUAAUGUGUCUUUACAUCCUUCCUUUUCGUUCGUUUAUUUAUUUUCGACUUUCAAAGUUUUAACUUUUAUCUUAACUUAUUCGUCUAUCCAACAGGCAGAAGCCAAAAGCACCUGGUUACAAAUUACUGACAAGAACUUUGACAAGAAUUAUCAACUAAAGGAAGAAAACUCCGAGAACGAGCGGUUAUAAUUAAUUAAUUAAUUGGAUUCAACGACGAUAAUGCUUUCGUUCCACAUUCUCAUGCGUUUCUUCGUUCAUUCUCUUUUUCGUUCUCACUCAGGUCUUUUUUGCUUUCAUUCGUAUCUUUUUGUCGUUUCCGUUUUUUUUUCUUUUUUUUACUUUUUGGCACUAGAAUUUUUAUAAUUAUAUUUUCUCUCUCGUUCGUAAA